GGAAAAACAAAACAAAACGAAAAAACCCACCCCUCCCUCACUACCUCAGUCACCGCCACCACUGCUAGUGGGCCCAAAGAAACAGCUCGUUGCCUUUAAUUUGGGGACCUAUGUUAAUGAAGUUGGUAAUUAAUUCGUCGCUUUGUUGUCGGUUCUUAUACUGUAUGUGUAAUCAAAUGUGGCCGUCCUUGGGAUUUACAGCAAUUAGCGAAUUACGGGAGUGCGCACGAGGCUGCAAGUUCUCGGCAGCCCGGCUGGGCUCGGCUCCGGCCUAAGGCUGGGCACUCCGCUGCCGCUGCAGACUUGCAGGUGUGUCCUAAGAGCCUUGGGGUCCUGGAGGCUCCGCGAACCCUCGAGCUCCUCCGGGCUUGCCCAGUUCUUCCUGGCUCCUUCGUAGCUGUUCCAGUCCUAAGGAAACUCCUGGCUGUCGCGUUCCCCAGAGCCACGACUUUGUGGGGCCUAGGCUAGGGGGGAGGAGGAAUUCUGCCCAGACUCUCCAGCAGUUGGUAGCAGGCAAGCUUUCUCCUGUGUCGCCUGGAAAAGUUGCAAAAUUGCUCUUCACCUGUAAGAACAUGCAUUUUAUCUUCCAGUCUCUUCUUGUCAAUUUGGAAAUUGCAGACACCCCGGCUCAGAUCAUUUUAAGGAGCUAGUUGAUUAAAAAAAAGUUCAAUAUUUAAAAGGCAUAACACCCCAAACCUGGAAAAGAUCAUGUGUGCAAGAAACCACUGAUGCUGUCUUCCAAA
rnacentral:lncRNA from 1 species